rnacentral:lncRNA from 10 species
CUGCAACUUUCAGACAUUUAGUUUGCUCCUCUAUCCUUUAACAAUUAGUACUGUUUUGAGGGUGAGAAAGCGCUUAACAAUUCUCUAACCUUCUACACCAAAGAAUAUAUACAUAAAAUAUUUUUCUAUAUAGGAGCAAGCACCAUUUCAAGGGACACAAAACAGGCUAUUUCAGCAUCGCCUCUGCCUUCACAGCCCUUGCCGAUCAAGUAAGUGGAGCCUGCUGUUUACAUUGGUUUAUUCACUACAGGGAGGGGUGGUUUCCAGUUGAUGUGUGUGAUUGCUUUUCUGUAUACAAUUUAAACCCUGGAAUUUUGCAGCUUUUAAACGGCAACCUAAGGUAGAUUAUGUCUUCCCCAGUAAGCCUGCCAAUUUCAGUCUUUUUGAGAGGAUAAGAGAUAAGACACAGGGGUGAGAACCAGGGGGAAAUCAUCAAAGAAGUGUAAAGAGAGCCAGGGCAGAGAAAAGAGGAGUGAAAAAUAAGAGAUCACAGGGAAAAUAUUCUUGUUAUGCAUCAGCUCUUUCUUAAGUGGGUAAGUAUGUUUUCAACUUCAAAUCCUGUGUUGAAUCAAAUACUCUUCUCAGAGCUGUGUUUCCUGCUGAUGAUAUUCUUGUUCCAGACUCCUGUUCCUGCUGAUGUUUGUCAUAGUGCUUAUUUCAAUUGGAAUGUGGAGAAACAUCAAUGUCCUGCUACAUUACUGCCAAGGCAAGGGUGAAAAAUGGGCAGAAGAUUCUUGUCCCCUUCCUCUCUUCUUGUAUCAGCAGGAAGUAUGGACAUGUUCAAAGAAUGACGGUAGCAUAUCAAAUGAACAAAGAGGACUUUAGAAGGGACUUCUGCUGAGAAAUUUGGGAACAAUUUGAGCAUCAAUCUUAAGAAAGGUAUUGAUAGAUUAUUACCUAUCAAUAGCUUUUCAAUAUCAAAAGUCUGUAGUCCAAAAUGAUGAAAUAAGUAAAUGAAUAAAUAAAUGAGGAAUAAUGGAAAACUCUUUUUAACAGAAUAAUGACAUAUAAUAAAUAUAGAAUAAAUAAUUGGAGUUAAAAUUCAUCCAUGGCUGCUAAAACUAGUGGAUGAAAAUUUGAAGAGAAAUGGAAAAUUUACAUAGCCUCAAAUUAUUGUUAUAAAUUACUUAAAAAUUAUAAGCAGAAGAGUGAUCAUUUUACAGAACAGAAAAAUUGGAGACACUGUCCUAAGCAAGAGGUUAAAACUACUAUGACUAAAUAUUAUGUAAAACAAAUAUUGUGUGACACGAUGUAAAAAAAUACAGCAUUGCUUUUGUGGCAUUUAUUGCAAAAGUACAAAAAUGAAUAUAAUAAAUCCAAUUUGAAAAACGUUUUAAACAAUACUGAUUUGUAUUUUUCAACCAUGAAAAAGGCUAACAAUGGACAAAAUAAGAUUAAACGAAAAAGGUCAGAUAAUCGUUUCAGAUGAUAGUAGACUGAAGAGACAUGGAAACUAAAUGUUUUGUGUGACCUUGCUUUGCGUGAUCCUACAUAAAUAAAACAGUAAUUUGGGUCAUUAUACAGAUAAUACAUGAAAUGUGAUUAUUUUAUCUGGAGUAGAAGAAAUUAUUAUAUCAAUGUUAAAUUUCUUAAUUAAAAAAGCAUAUAUAUGUGUACCCAUAUAUGUACACAAUAUAUAGAUAUUACCUCAAAGAGAGAGGGAGACAAAUUGAGAGAAUGAUAAAGCAAAUAGGAAAAAUGUUAACAAUUGGUAAAUCUGAGUAAAUAGUAUUCAGGAUCUCUAGUGCCAUUCUUGCAGCAGUUUCAUAAGUUUUAGCAUACAUAAAAACGAUAUGUGCACAAAGUUUUUAUCAAUUAACAUUUUAUAUUAUUUUUGUUAAUGACAACUGUAUCUAUAGACAUUUGACAAGUAAUACAUAGAUCUGAUAAUUCCUUACCUAGAUGAUAUGGUUUGGCCGUGUCCCCACCCAUAUAUCACCUUGAAUUGUAGCUCCUACAAUUACCACAUACUAUGGGAGGAACCCAGUGGGAAAUGAUUGAAUUACGAGGGCAGGUCUUUCCUGCACUGCUCUUAUGAUACUGAAUGAGACUCACAAGAUCUGAUGGUUGUAAAAACGGAAGUUUUCCUGCCCAAUCUCACUCUUCGCCUACUGCCAUCCAUGUAAGAUACGAUUUGCUCCUCCUUGUCUUCUCCCAUGGUUGUGAGGCUUCCCCAGCCACGUGGAACUGUAAGUCCAAUUAAACCUCUUUCAUUUGUAAAUUGCCCAGUCCUGGGUACGUCUUUAUCAGGAGCAUGAAAAUGGACUAACACAACAAAAUAUUAUUUUAUAUGUAUAUCUGUUCUACUUUGUUUAAUAAAUUAUAAAUUCAACUAGUUUAAACGCAAAACUGUUUAUUGAAAACAAUUCAUGAUGGGUAUUUGUGCUUAACUGGCAUAUGGACACUUGGAGUUCUUAUAGAUCAAUUUAAUGGGAAUUGUGUUCUCCCAAAAAUCAUUUGCAAAGUUUAUUGUAUAUUGGAUUUGUCUGUGGAGAUAUUUUUUACAUUUAUAUUACAUUGUUAAAAAGUAUAUUACAUUUUUCAAAAAGUAUUGGAACAAUUGUUAGCCCAACUUUCUUUAACCACUACCCCAAGUUACUUUUUUUCCUGGUACAAUGGAAAAAACUUAUUUUUGUCAGUAUACUUUGCACACUCUCUACGUAAAUUUACUACGUAUCACAACAUAUGCAUGUGUUUGUAUGUCUAUGUUGGUUUGGUUCUUUUCAUCCUUAAGAUCAUAUAUCUGGUGUUGUUAUUUCUUUCUAACUCAUUGUGUUAGGCUGCUCUUGUAUUGCUGUAAAGAAAUAUCUGAGGCUGGGUAAUUUACAAAGAGUUUUAACUGGCCCACAUUUCUGCAGGUUGCACAGGAAGCGUGACACUGACAUCUGCUUGGGUUCUGGGGAGGCCUCAGAAAGGUUUUACUCAUGGAAGAAAGCAGAGUGGGAGGUUACACAUCACUUGGCAAAGGCAGGAGCAACAGGGAGUUGUGAGGGAGGUGCCACACACUUUUAAACAACUGGAUCUCAGGUGAACUCACUCAUCACCAAGGGGUUGGAGGUUAGCCAUUCAUGAGGGAUACACUUCCAUAAUCCAAACACCUCCCACCAGGCCCCACUUCCAACACUGCAGAUUACAUUUUAACAUGAAAUUUGGCAAGGACACAGAUCCAAAUCACAUCACUCACCAAUACCUGUUUUUUAACAAUAAACUUGAGUCAUCAAAACUCACAAGUUUGUACCACCAGUUGAUAUUUCAGCUAUUGACUUUGAGAAUUAUGCAUUGUAAGGAAGGAGAAAUUGAGAUGAAUGCCCAUGUAGUAGCAUAUACAAUAUUGUGUUUUGGAUCAGCUCUGUGCUAGCGGAAUAUACAGAUGCAUUAAAACAAAAGAUGUGAUAGCACUGCAAAAACAUUUUUUUACUUUAAUAUUCCUAAUUUGAGCCAAUUAUUAUACUGUAAAACAAAAAUCCAUUUGCAUUUUAUCUCGUUAACUGUUAAUACAAAAUAUUCUCUUUUAUGUCAAUUUUUAAAUUUAAAAUAGUGCACAUAGGCAAGGCAUAGUGGCUCGUGCCUGUAAUUCCAGCAUUUGGGAGGCCAAGUGGAUGGAUCGUUUGAGCUCAGGGGUUAGAGACCAGCCUGGGCAACAUGGCAAAACCUCAUCUCUACCAAAAAAAAAAAAAACCAGGCGUGGUGUUGUGCCCCUGUAGUCCCAGCUCCUUGGGAGGUUGAGGUGGGAGGAUAUUUGAGCCUAGGAAGUUGAGUCUGCAGUGAGCCAUGAUCGCACCACUGUGCUCCAGCCUGGGCAACAGAGUGAGAACCUGUCUCAAAAAAAAUAAAUGAAUAAAUAAAAAUAAAGUAGCGCACAUGGCAGCUGGUUCUCCACACAAACUCUGAAAAGUAGGUUUUGUGAAAUAUUCAUAGAUAAAUCAUCUACUAGAUAAAAAUUACAUUGCCAGCAUUAAAACAAAAUGUAUAUUCUGAAAAAUUUAGAAUAUUAUUUUAUGUAAAAUUAUUUUUUACAUUUUAAAAAAUGUAAAAUGUAAUUCCAAGCACAUAGUAAGGAUGCAGAAACAUCUAUUCGUUGACUGUUCAUUUAUGGUUUGGUGGAGUUCUAUGUAAAUAUAGAAUACAUGCUUUUCAACUCGUAUUUUCAACUAAUCUUUUAAAAGUAUUUCCAUUGCAUAUUAAGGAUAGUAUAUCAAUUCAGAAAAUAUCAUUUCAAUCCCAUUAAAUAAUAAUGGCAUUAAUAUAUAAAAUAAAUUAUCAUUUCAAUCACUUUAAGAUAUUUCAAAAUGCUAAUCUAUUAUCUGAAAAGAGCAGUGCACAAACAUUAGUUUCACAUAUUUAUAUUAAUAUAAGACAUCUAAAAAUGUGGUUUGUUUUUAAUUACAGAUGUUGACUAUCUCCAUGUGUAUUUGUGUCUUUGUAUGUGUGUAAGCUUUUCCUCUAUGCUUAUUUUGCUUUAAGUGUUCAACCGGCAAGUUAAAAUGUUUAAUAUAAUGUUAUAUUAAUUAAUAUUUAAUAAUGUUAAUUAACUCUCACUUUAAUAAAUAGCUUUCCUUGUUAUUCCUCUAAUUUUCCAUUAAAAUCUAAAUUUUCAUAAAGAAAAUUAUACAUAGUUUCAAUGCUACUAACAAGUUCGGACAGCUUAUGUUCAUGAUAACCUGCCUUGUUAUUUUCGUUAAGUGAAGUUCUGUAAGAAUGUGAUCAUCGACAAUCUCUAGUAACUGGGCAAAUAGCAUAGCUUACUGGAAGAAUGCAUAAAAUAUGUUUGAAUCAUAGCCAUUAUUGUUUUGCCAAACAAAAUAUUAAGCAGCAUUUAUCUUACUACCUUGAAACAUGCAGAUAAAUAUUUCUUUUGUGUACUUUAUCAUCUUUCUUUUUUCCUCCAUUCCUCCCUGUCCUGUACUUUUUAUUAUUUAUGGAAACAAAUCACUGACAUUUUCAAGAUACACAUGGUUCUGAUUAAUAAUUUGAUCAAUAUCAGACAGAAUGAUACAUGCAAGAGAAAUAAAUUUUGAUUUAAUCUCUGCCAUUUUUUUUUUUUUGGUACAGCAGCUUAACCUUUCGCCUCACAUAUGAGUAUCCUAAUUUUAUAAGUUGGAAAAUGACAGGCAUGUAAAAUAACUUUGCCAAUAUUUUCCAGCAACCAGUAGGUGGUUACUACCUACUAGUGGUGCUUUGAACCCAUCUGUCUGGCUGAAAACCCAUGUUGUGAGAUACUGCCUCUCAUGUGAUAUCUAUGAAAACAAUUAAAAAGGUUAAGUUUACACCUCGUCAAACUCUUGGGCUGACUGCUAUCCUAUUUUUGUGAUAUGGUAGUAAUGUAUGAAAAGAAAAACUGAGGCUUGUAUGAGUAGUUCACUUAUGCUAUUGCAAGGUAUCAAGUUGCAAAGAAUUCUUAUCUUUCACUCUUCUCUACUUAUUAUUCAGAACUACAAAUCUAUUUCAAAAAGAAAUGCUGAGUGGCCACUCUUCUUUGGUAGUAGUUUUAAUAUCUUUGUUUAUUCCUAGUAUUCCAUAGGAAUUCCAUACCUCAAGCCCACAAUGGCUUGCAAGAAUUUCUGAGCACCAGGCAAUGUUGAGAUCCUUGUGUAACCCUGAUGAGAAAAUUUACAUGUAAAAGCCUGAAUGUCAGUUAGCUGAGAGGAAAUUGUAUCUUUUUAUCCAUUUUUAUAUUAACUACUUAACAACCAAUUCAUACUCAAUUUUAGCUUAAUAGAAAUGUUUAAUAUGAGCCAAAUGUGAAAAAAAAAUUAUAUUUAUUAAGGUAUGAUAAUCUUUACCACUCUCCAAAUUAAAACAACUAAAAAACCAAUUUCCUCAAAGAAGAUGCUAUAGUUAAAUU